CAGGCCUAACACAUGCAAGUCGAACGGUAACACAGGGAGCUUGCUCCCGGGUGACGAGCGGCGGACGGGUGAGUAAUGUCUGGGAAACUGCCUGAUGGAGGGGGAUAACUACUGGAAACGGUAGCUAAUACCGCAUAACGUCGCAAGACCAAAGAGGGGGACCUUCGGGCCUCUUGCCAUCAGAUGUGCCCAGAUGGGAUUAGCUAGUAGGUGGGGUAACGGCUCACCUAGGCGACGAUCCCUAGCUGGUCUGAGAGGAUGACCAGCCACACUGGAACUGAGACACGGUCCAGACUCCUACGGGAGGCAGCAGUGGGGAAUAUUGCACAAUGGGCGCAAGCCUGAUGCAGCCAUGCCGCGUGUAUGAAGAAGGCCUUCGGGUUGUAAAGUACUUUCAGCGGGGAGGAAGGUGUUGAGGUUAAUAACCUCAGCAAUUGACGUUAUCCGCAGAAGAAGCACCGUCUAACUCCGUGCCAGCAGCCGCGGUAAU
rnacentral:rRNA from 1 species